GACGAACGCUGGCGGCGUGCUUAACACAUGCAAGUCGAACGGAAAGGCCCUGCUUUUGUGGGGUGCUCGAGUGGCGAGCGGGUGAGUAACACGUGAGUAACCUGCCCUUGACUUUGGGAUAACUUCAGGAAACUGGGGCUAAUACCGGAUAGGAGCUCCUGCUGCAUGGUGGGGGUUGGAAAGUUUCGGCGGUUGGGGAUGGACUCGCGGCUUAUCAGCUUGUUGGUGGGGUAGUGGCUUGCCAAGGCUUUGACGGGUAGCCGGCCUGAGAGGGUGACCGGCCACAUUGGGACUGAGAUACGGCCCAGACUCCUACGGGAGGCAGCAGUGGGGAAUAUUGCACAAUGGGCGGAAGCCUGAUGCAGCAACGCCGCGUGCGGGAUGACGGCCUUCGGGUUGUAAACCGCUUUCGCCUGUGACGAAGCGUGAGUGACGGUAAUGGGUAAAGAAGCACCGGCUAACUACGUG
rnacentral:rRNA from 1 species